GGGGCUGUAGUGUAGUUGGUAUCACCCAAGGUUCGGGGCCUUGUAACCGGAGUUCGAAUCUUCGUAGCCCCG
rnacentral:tRNA from 1 species